ACCAGACUCCUACGGGAGGCAGCAGUGGGGGAUAUUGCACAAUGGGGGAAACCCUGAUGCAGCGACGCCGCGUGGGUGAAGAAGUAUUUCGGUAUGUAAAGCCCUAUCAGCAGGGAAGAAAGAAGACGGUACCUGACUAAGAAGCCCCGGCUAACUACGUGCCAGCAGCCGCGGUAAUACGUAGGGGGCGAGCGUUAUCCGGAUUCACUGGGUGUAAAGGGAGCGUAGACGGCCGUGCAAGCCAGGAGUGAAAGCCCGGGGCCCAACCCCGGGACUGCUCUUGGAACUGUGCGGCUGGAGUGCGGGAGGGGCAGGCGGAAUUCCUGGUGUAGCGGUGAAAUGCGUAGAUAUCAGGAGGAACACCGGCGGCGAAGGCGGCCUGCUGGACCGCGACUGACGUUGAGGCUCGAAAGCGUGGGGAGCGAACAGGAUUAGAUACCCUUGUAC
rnacentral:rRNA from 1 species